rnacentral:tRNA from 1 species
GGAGGGGUACCCAAGUGGUCAACGGGAUCUGGCUGUAAACCAGACGGCUUAGCCUUCGUAGGUUCGAAUCCUACUCCCUCCA